GACGAACGCUGGCGGCGCGCCUAACACAUGCAAGUCGAACGAGCGAGAGGGAGCUUGCUUUCUCGAGCGAGUGGCGAACGGGUGAGUAACGCGUGAGGAACCUGCCUCAAAGAGGGGGACAACAGUUGGAAACGACUGCUAAUACCGCAUAAGCCCACGGUGCCGCAUGGCACAGAGGGAAAAGGAGCAAUCCGCUUUGAGAUGGCCUCGCGUCCGAUUAGCUAGUUGGUGAGGUAAUGGCCCACCAAGGCGACGAUCGGUAGCCGGACUGAGAGGUUGAACGGCCACAUUGGGACUGAGACACGGCCCAGACUCCUACGGGAAGCAGCAGUGGGGAAUAUUGCACAAUGGGGGAAACCCUGAUGCAGCGACGCCGCGUGGAGGAAGAAGGUCUUCGGAUUGUAAACUCCUGUUGUUGGGGAAGAUAAUGACGGUACCCAACAAGGAAGUGACGGCUAACUACGUG
rnacentral:rRNA from 1 species